rnacentral:rRNA from 1 species
UACAGAGGGGGCGAGCGUUAUUCGGAAUUAUUGGGCGUAAAGGGCGCGUAGGCGGCCGAGCAAGUCUUGGGUGAAAUCCCUCGGCUCAACCGAGGAACUGCCUUGGAAACUGCUCUGGCUUGAGGCCGGGAGAGGGUGGUGGAAUUCCCAGUGUAGCGGUGAAAUGCGUAGAUAUUGGGAGGAACACCAGUGGCGAAGGCGGCCACCUGGACCGGUCCUGACGCUGAGGCGCGAAAGCGUGGGGAGCAAACAGGAUUAGAUACCCUGGUAGUCCACGCCCUAAACGAUGGGUACUCGGUGUCGCGGGUAUCGACCCCUGCGGUGCCUUAGCUAACGCGUUAAGUACCCCGCCUGGGGAGUACGGUCGCAAGGCUGAA